rnacentral:rRNA from 1 species
AUACGAUCCACGGAUGAAAGCAGGGGACCGCAAGGCCUUGCGCUAUCAGAUUAGCCUGCGUCGGAUUAGCUAGUUGGUGAGGUAAUGGCUCACCAAGGCAACGAUCCGUAGCUGGUUUGAGAGAACGACCAGCCACACUGGGACUGAGACACGGCCCAGACUCCUACGGGAGGCAGCAGUGGGGAAUAUUGGACAAUGGGGGCAACCCUGAUCCAGCAAUGCCGCGUGUGUGAAGAAGGCCUUCGGGUUGUAAAGCACUUUCGGUGGGGACAAACGUGGCGAGGCUAACAUCCUCGUCCUUGAUGGUACCCAAAGAAGAAGCACCGGCUAACUCUGUGCCAGCAGCCGCGGUAAUACAGAGGGUGCAAGCGUUAAUCGGAAUUACUGGGCGUAAAGGGUGCGUAGGUGGUUGGAUAAGUCAGAUGUGAAAUCCCCGGGCUUAACCUGGGAACUGCGUUUGAUACUGUUCGACUAGAGUCUGGUAGAGGGUAGUGGAAUUCCGCAUGUAGCGGUGAAAUGCGUAGAGAUGCGGAGGAACACCAGUGGCGAAGGCGGCUACCUGGACCAAGACUGACACUGA